rnacentral:rRNA from 1 species
AGCAGUAGCCGCGGUAAUACGAAGGGGGCUAGCGUUGCUCGGAAUGACUGGGCGUAAAGGGCGCGUAGGCGGCGGCCAAAGUCAGGCGUGAAAUUCCCGGGCUCAACCUGGGGGCUGCGUUUGAUACUUGGUUGCUUGAGUGGGGAAGAGGGUCGUGGAAUUCCCAGUGUAGAGGUGAAAUUCGUAGAUAUUGGGAAGAACACCGGUGGCGAAGGCGGCAACCUGGUCCUUGACUGACGCUGAGGCGCGAAAGCGUGGGGAGCAAACAGGAUUAGAUACCCCCGUAGUCCCUGUCUCUUAUAC